UGGGGGCUCGUCCAAUGGUAGGACAACAGACUCUGGAUCUGUUGAUAGAGGUUCGAAUCCUUUGCCCUCAGCCU
rnacentral:tRNA from 1 species